GCCGGAAUUGCUAGUAAUGGCAGGUCAGCAUACUGCCGUGAAUACGUUCCCGGGCCUUGUACACACCGCCCGUCACACCAUGAGAGUUGGGAAUACCCGAAGCCUGUGAGCUAACGAAAGAGGCAGCAGUCGAAGGUAGAAUCAAUGAUUGGGGUGAAGUCGUAACAAGGUAUC
rnacentral:rRNA from 1 species